CCAAAUUUAGCAUGGGGGAAGCCAUAGUUAGGGUUUUCAAGCUUCCAAGCUCCAUAAUCAAGAAGAACUAAAUCCAGAGUUAGACCGAGGAAAGAAAAAGGUUGAGGACUAAAGUGCUAGAUUUGAUCAUAUUUUGUACCGAGUACCGCUAAGUCAGUUCGGGGAUCAUAAGGAUGGUGGAGUUCGUCUCACACUAUCCACGGACAUCUCGGUAAUAUGUAAUUUUGAAACGUGUAAAGUUAUGGCAUGUAUAGGGACUUAGUCAUUUUGAGCGUGUUCAUAUGAUAUGGCUAAUGAUUUUCUAUUAAAAUGGCUAAUUAAGAACAUGUUUUGUAUUAUGGAUGUUUAAAUAUGGGUUAAUACAAAGAAAUUAUAAAAGAGUAAAAA